GGCUAGGUGGCGGAGUGGUUAACGCGGUAGACUCGAAGGUUCCUGCAGUUUAAUCAGGAGUUUUCAGCUAUCUACUUCCUUCGGGAGCGUCUGUUCGAAUCAGGCCCUAGUCG